rnacentral:rRNA from 1 species
GAUGAACGCUGGCGGCGUGCCUAAUACAUGCAAGUCGAGCGAACAGACGAGGAGCUUGCUCCUCUGACGUUAGCGGCGGACGGGUGAGUAACACGUGGAUAACCUACCUAUAAGACUGGGAUAACUUCGGGAAACCGGAGCUAAUACCGGAUAAUAUAUUGAACCGCAUGGUUCAAUAGUGAAAGACGGUUUUGCUGUCACUUAUAGAUGGAUCCGCGCCGCAUUAGCUAGUUGGUAAGGUAACGGCUUACCAAGGCGACGAUGCGUAGCCGACCUGAGAGGGUGAUCGGCCACACUGGAACUGAGACACGGUCCAUACUCCUACGGGAGGCAGCAGUAGGGAAUCUUCCGCAAUGGGCGAAAGCCUGACGGAGCAACGCCGCGUGAGUGAUGAAGGUCUUCGGAUCGUAAAGCUCUGUUAUGAGGGAAGAACAAAUGUGUAAGUAACUAUGCACGUCUUGACGGUACCGAAUCAGAAAGCCACGGCUAACUACGUG